CGAGUUGGCCGGGUGAUCGCGGCGCGCAAGCGUCGAGGAAAGUCCGGACUCCACAGGGCACGGUGGUGGGUAACGCCCACCCGGGGUGACCCGCGGGACAGUGCCACAGAGAGCAGACCGCCUCGAGCGAUCGAGGUAAGGGUGAAAGGGCGGUGUAAGAGACCACCAGCGCGGCAGGUGACUGCCGUGGCUCGGCAAACCCCACCGGGAGCAAGGUCAAGUGGGCCGGUCCGCCGGCCUUGGUGGAUGAGUGACCCGCUCGCAAUCCACUGGUAGACCGCAUCAGGGUGCUGGCAACAGCACUCGCAGAUGGAUGAUCACCGAAUCGUCACCGCGAGGUGGCGAGGAACAGAAUCCGGCUUACAGGCCGACUCGUCCC
rnacentral:RNase_P_RNA from 1 species